rnacentral:rRNA from 1 species
GCUAAGCACGUGCCAGGAGGCGUGGGAAGCCGGAGGGUGCAGGCUGUUGCGGGUGUGAGUGGGCGUAAAGGGCGUGUAGGAGGCCCGACCAGUCCGCGGUGAAAGUCCAGGGCUCAACCCUGGAAUGCCGGUGGAUACUGUCGGGCUAGAGUCCGGAAGGGGCGAGUGGAAUUCCUGGUGUAGCGGUGAAAUGCGCAGAUAUCAGGAGGAACACCAAUGGCGAAGGCAGCUCGCUGGGACGUGACUGACGCUGAGACGCGAAAGCGUGGGGAGCAAACAGGAUUAGAUACCCCUGUAGUC